AUACGGAGGGUGCGAGCGUUACUCGGAAUCACUGGGCGUAAAGCGCGCGCAGGCGGCUAUUUAAGUUGGAUGUGAAAGCCUACGGCUCAACCGUAGAACUGCAUCCAAAACUAUUUAGCUAGAGUGUGGGAGAGGAAGAUGGAAUUAGUUGUGUAGGGGUAAAAUCCGUAGAGAUAACUAGGAAUACCAAAAGCGAAGGCAAUCUUCUGGAACACUACUGACGCUGAGGCGCGAAAGCGUGGGGAGCAAACGGGAUUAGAAACCCUAGUAGUCC
rnacentral:rRNA from 1 species